rnacentral:lncRNA from 1 species
AUGCAAACUAAGAGCCAUUUCUUCACCGUAGGUUGUUAAGCCUCAAAUAAACGGUGCCUCAGCUCCGAUACCACUUGAAAGGUCCAAAUGGCUAGAGGGGGGUGAAUAGCCUAUUUAAAAAUUCUACAAACUUCACUAAGCAAGCGAGUUAGUAAAAUAAAUGGCGAAGCAAUUCUAGCACUAGCUCAACUAAGCUAUGCAAGCCACCUAUACAAACUAGUACAAGGCCGAACA